GAUCAAUCCUGUGCUACCUGUAACUAUAUACAGAUUACAAAUGUGCAGAUAUGAAGAAGCUUAAGAAUCAAAACUUUUUGUGAUAUAUGACUAAUAAAGGUGAAGAAGAGGACGGCGUAGGAGGAAAAGAAUUGGGGGAUGAUGACAUAUGACAAGUGCAUUUUGGAUCAUGCAUUGCUUCAUUUUUCUGAAAAUCAAGUUUACUACAGAAGACACAAUAACGCCCAAGAGAUGCUUCUUUUCCACCCUCAUCGUCAUCUUCGGUGUCAUCUGGGGUCUCAUCUUCAUAGUGUUCCACAGCCACAACCUUCCCAGGGUCAAAUCUGGUGUAACUGAACCAGUAUCUAGGAAACAUCAGUUUAAGCAUUCUCUCCAAAUGUUUGUCAAAGUAUUUGUUUCCUUGCUUGUAAAACAACAGAGGUGCAAUGGAGAUUGCUGCCCCUACUCCAUAUCCCACACCCGUAAAUAUGAACUGCCAAUCAUAAGAGUCAUCUUGAGAACUUGGUGCUGGUUUCAACUCUGAAGUAUCGCUUUUGCAAAUGACGUUAAGAGGGAGCCCGCAUAGGCCUCUGUUUCCUUCAAAGGAUUCUGCUGAGAAUGUUUCAAAUUGAUUACUUUGCGGGAUUUUUCCAAACAAAUUGUUGAACGAUAAGUUCAAAACUGCUAAGAAUGUGAGACUUGAAAGCUCUGAGGGGAUCUCCCCGGACAGGUGGUUUCUUGACAGGUCUAGUGAUUCAAGCAUUUGUAGCUUCCCAAUUGAUUUUGGAAUUGGUCCCUCGAGGGCAUUGUGUGACAGGUUCAAAACAUAAAGUGAGCUAAGAUCCCCAACAGUAUCUGGUAUCUUUCCUUGAAAUCUAUUGGAAGAGAAAUCAAUAGAUGUGAAGACCCUAAGAA
rnacentral:misc_RNA from 1 species